UGAUGAAGAACGUAGCGAAAUGCGAUAAGUAGUGUGAAUUGCAGAAUUCCGUGAAUCAUCGAAUCUUUGAACGCACAUUGCGCCUUCUGGUAUUCCGGAAGGCAUGCCUGUUCGAGAGUCAUUAACAACCGUUUCGAUCCCUUUCUUUCAGAAAUUACAAAGAGGAAAAGGGUUUGGUUAUGGUGGAGGAGGGAAAGGGAGCGUUUAGCCUGUAAAAAAAGAGGCUGUGUUCCGCCUCCCCCCCAAAAUUGUACAGGCGGUCGUGUGCGCCCACGCAUCGAGGUGUUGUAAAAGCUGCCACGGCACUUUUCACCUGUGCAGUGCGAGAUUGGCCAGCCGGUUUAAAAACCCCUCCAAACAAUCAAAGGUUGACCUCGGAUCAGGUAGGGAUACCCGCUGAACUUAAGCAUAUCAAUAAGCGGAGGA
rnacentral:misc_RNA from 1 species